AGAGACAGCAGUAGCCGCGGUAAUACGAGGGGGGCAAGCGUUGUUCGGAAUUAUUGGGCGUAAAGGGUGCGUAGGCGGUUUGACAAGUUCUAUGUGAAAUCUAUGGGCUCAACCCAUAGUCUGCAUGGAAAACUGUCGGGCUUGAGAAUGGGAGAGGUGAGUGGAAUUUCCGGUGUAGCGGUGAAAUGCGUAGAUAUCGGAAGGAACACCUGUGGCGAAAGCGACUCACUGGUCUGUAACUGACGCUGAGGAGCGAAAGCGUGGGGAGCGAACAGGAUUAGAUACCCCGGUAGUCCCUGUCUCUUAUAC
rnacentral:rRNA from 1 species